rnacentral:rRNA from 1 species
UACGGGGGUGGCAAGCGUUGUUCGGAAUUACUGGGCGUAAAGGGCGCGUAGGCGGGGAGGUAAGUCGGGUGUGAAAUCCCUCGGCUCAACCGAGGAACUGCGCCCGAGACUGCCUUUCUUGAGUCCCGGAGAGGAAGGUGGAAUUCCCGGUGUAGCGGUGAAAUGUGUAGAGAUCGGGAGGAACACCGGUGGCGAAGGCGGCCUUCUGGACGGUGACUGACGCUGAGGCGCGAAAGUGUGGGGAGCAAACGGG